AUUGAACGCUGGCGGCAGGCCUAACACAUGCAAGUCGAGCGGAUGAGGGGAGCUUGCUCCUGGAUUCAGCGGCGGACGGGUGAGUAAUGCCUAGGAAUCUGCCUGGUAGUGGGGGAUAACGUCCGGAAACGGGCGCUAAUACCGCAUACGUCCUGAGGGAGAAAGUGGGGGAUCUUCGGACCUCACGCUAUCAGAUGAGCCUAGGUCGGAUUAGCUAGUUGGUGGGGUAAAGGCCUACCAAGGCGACGAUCCGUAACUGGUCUGAGAGGAUGAUCAGUCACACUGGAACUGAGACACGGUCCAGACUCCUACGGGAGGCAGCAGUGGGGAAUAUUGGACAAUGGGCGAAAGCCUGAUCCAGCCAUGCCGCGUGUGUGAAGAAGGUCUUCGGAUUGUAAAGCACUUUAAGUUGGGAGGAAGGGCAGUAAGUUAAUACCUUGCUGUUCUGACGUUACCAACAGAAUAAGCACCGGCUAACUUCGUG
rnacentral:rRNA from 1 species